CCAUUGUGGGCAGAAGGAUCCUCCUCGGAUCAUCACUGCUCACUGAGGAUGACCUGGAGCACUCGGCUGAACCUGUACCAGACCAUGGAGGAACACAUCCAAGCAAGUCUUGAAUAUCUCCAAGCCUCUUCCAGUGUUCUGUCACCCUCACAGUCAAAAAAUUCUCCUUUGUGUUUACUUGAAACUUCCUAUGCUUCAGCUUCCAGCCACUGCCCCUUGUCCUGUCAUCAGGCAUCGCCAAGAAGAGCCUGGCUCCAUCCUCCUGGCACUCAUUUCUCCUUCUGUGUAAGUAAAUAACCAGCUCUAAAAUGUAGGUAGAACAAACAGCACUCUAGAUGAUCUCAGGUACCAAGUGAAGUGGCAGUGCCCACCUUUGCAGGCUGAGUCUCCCACAGAGCAAAACCCUGCAGCUUGUGAGGAAGCAAAGUCACACUUUCUGCGUGGGAACUGAAGGGCUCUGGUGAUGUCUGGUGUUAUAGGAUGGACUUAACAGCCACGUGGAGAAACUGUUCAGAACAGACUGCAAAUCACAUCCUUCAGAAAGGCAGAGGCCUUUGGAGAGAGCAAACCAGGGCUGUUUCCCUUCUUGGCUGAGCUACUGUAUAAAUCACCUCAGAAACUGCUUGUCAGCCUAUGCUGUGGAAGCAAUUCAAAAUCAGCCUGACAGAGGGAUUCCUCCCUCCUCCAUCCAUAGAUGGAUGUGAAACGAGCCAGGACUGAUGAGUGCAAGUCCCUGCAUAAGUCACUGUGAGGCAAGAGGCAAAUUGUGCAUCAUAGGGAAACCAUUGCACUCAGAAGCUCUUGUGAAACAAGCCACAACCUCACUUCUUCUGGAAGAUACUGAGUCCCACCAGCACAGAAGCCCCAAGGAGAAACAUCCUUUUGUGGUUAGUGAAAAAGUGAAUUUUCAUGGCCACAAAAUGCAACCUGGCCUUGAUAUUUCCAGACAGGUAUGAACUGCCUUCUCUCUGCCAUUCCUAAUUGCCACUACAGUGGCUUAACUUUGCAAUUCAUCAAAAAGCAUAUGAAAUCUUAAAAUCUUAACCAGACUGCUCCACACUCACUCCACAUUUAUUGCUGGCUCCCUCUGCCAGCUUUUAAUCUUCAAAAUAUUAUGCCCAUUUCAUGCCUGUUGUUUUGCAAUUGGGAGAAAGUUUGUGCUACCAGAUUGGGACAGGCUGUUAGAUGUAUCAACAAACGUUAGCUACAAGCUGGUUCAUCUGCCACAGAUUUAUCCUCGUAUUGACUUACAUUUUAAUUAUGUAACCAAAUUAACUAUAUAAUAAACUACAGUAAAACUC